rnacentral:rRNA from 1 species
UACGAAGGGGGCUAGCGUUGCUCGGAAUCACUGGGCGUAAAGCGCACGUAGGCGGAUUGUUAAGUCAGGGGUGAAAUCCUGGAGCUCAACUCCAGAACUGCCUUUGAUACUGGCGAUCUCGAGUCCGGGAGAGGUGAGUGGAACUGCGAGUGUAGAGGUGAAAUUCGUAGAUAUUCGCAAGAACACCAGUGGCGAAGGCGGCUCACUGGCCCGAUACUGACGCUGAGGCACGAAAGCGUGGGGAGCAACAGGAUUAAGAAACCCCGAGUACA